AGGAAAAUAGUGACUGGUUUUGUUAUAUUUUUAAAUGUCUAUUUUUGGUGGGGGAUGAUAAAUUUGGUAAUAAAAUGAUAAAAUAUGCAAAACUAGUUUAAUUUUAAGCCUCAUUUCCAUAAUUUGCAUUGCAAAUAUUUCAAAUCAACCUUAAAUAAGUUUCAGUUGAAAUAAACAAACCACUCAAUAAAAAUGCCCACUUUUUUCUUCUACUUUUUAUUAUCUUACUUCGUAAUGUUCAUUUUUUCAAGUCCUAUUAAACGCCAAAUACGAGAUGCCAAUCCAUAUUUAUUUUGUAUUGAACCACCAUGUAAAGAAAAUUUUGCCCAUUUUUAGCCUUAAUAAACGAUAUUUCAAAUUGUAAAUGAGUCUCAAUUCAAAAUUAAGUUG